AACGAACGCUGGCGGCAUGCCUAACACAUGCAAGUCGAACGAUCCCUUCGGGGAUAGUGGCGCACGGGUGCGUAACGCGUGGGAACCUGCCCUUAGGUUCGGAAUAACUCAGAGAAAUUUGAGCUAAUACCGGAUAAUGUCUUCGGACCAAAGAUUUAUCGCCUUUGGAUGGGCCCGCGUUGGAUUAGCUAGUUGGUGGGGUAAAGGCCUACCAAGGCGACGAUCCAUAGCUGGUCUGAGAGGAUGAUCAGCCACACUGGGACUGAGACACGGCCCAGACUCCUACGGGAGGCAGCAGUGGGGAAUAUUGGACAAUGGGCGAAAGCCUGAUCCAGCAAUGCCGCGUGAGUGAUGAAGGCCUUAGGGUUGUAAAGCUCUUUUACCCGGGAUGAUAAUGACAGUACCGGGUGAAUAAGCCCCGGCUAACUCCGUG
rnacentral:rRNA from 1 species